GGCAUGCAUCACCCAGUAUCCAUGUGUGAUGGAAAUGUGAUCACGCAGGAGUCACAUACCGUCCAUGGGUGGCUCCCACGUGACUACAGGUUGCUGAAACGUGGCUCACCCAUACUCAGUCGUGGCUGCCACAUGGCUCACGCAUGGCUAAGCUGUGUUUCACGGGUGGCUCCCGUGUGGUACAUUCGUGGGUCAAGCAUGGAACAUGUGUGUUUCACAGGUUCUUCAGAUGGGGUUCAAGGGUGUCUCCCAUGUGGUUCCUACAUGGCUCACACAUGGUUCGGGUGUAAUUCAGGCGUGGAUCUCACAUGACUCGUCUGUGUCACAUAUGGUUGAGGACACUCUCACACGUGGUUCAGGCAUAGCUCAGCCAUGGGUCACACGCGAAGCAGGUGUGCCACAGAACUGUCUCAUAUGUGGCUGAUACAUGACACAGGCUUUGGUCACACAUGGCUCACACAUGGUUCAAAUGUGGCUCAUGCAUGUCUGUGGUGUUUGUCAGGCGUGGCUCACAUGUGUUUGUGGCAUGGAUGGCACGUGGUUCAGGCAUGGCAGGCAGGUUGUGCCAGUGUGGCUGACACGUGCUUCCAGUGAGGCUGACCUGUGGUUCAAGUGUGACUGGCACUUGGUUCAGGCCUGGCUGGCAUGUGAAUUGGCGCAGCUGAGCCUUGACACAGACGUGGUACACAUGUUCUUCAGGCGUGUCUGACACAUGACUCAGGUGAGGUGGAAACGUGACACAGGCGUGCCUGACACAUCACACAGGUGUGGUUCACACAUGGUUCAUGAAUGGCCUUCGUGUGGUUCAGGGCUGGCUGGAGCAUGGUGCACGCAUGGGUGGCAGGGGGUUCAGGCGUGGCUGAAAUUUGACUCUGGCAUGUGUGAAACAGGACUCCAGAGUGGCUGAUACUUGUGUCAGGCAUGGCUGACACGUGACUCAGGCAUUCAUCACCCAGUAUCCAUGUGUGAUGGAAAUGUGAUCACGCAAGUGUCACAUGCCAUACAUGGGUGGCUCCCACGUCACUACAGGUUGCUGAAACGUGGCUCCCACAUACUCAGUCAUGGCUGGCACGUGGCUCAUGCAUGCCUCAGCCGUGUUUCAUCUGUGGCUCACCUGAGGUUCAUGUGUGGUUCAAGCAUUGAACGUGUGGUUCGCAUGGGCUUCAGAUGUGGGUCAAGGGUGCCUCACACAUGGAUCCGGCACAGUUCACUUGUGGCUCACACAUGGUUCAGAUGUAAUUCAGGCAUGGUAAACACAUGACUCGUGUGGGUCAUAAAUGCUACAGUAGACUUUCACACAUGAUUGAGGCAUGGCUCACACAUGGUUCCGGUGCAGCUCAGCCAAGGCUCACAUGUGAUGCAGGCAUGAAACAGAAUUGGUUCACAUGUGGCUGGUGCACGAUUCAGGCGUUUGUCAUGCAUGGCUCACACACGGCUGAGAUGUGGCUCAUGCAUGGCUGUGGUGCUGCUAAUGCGUGCUCUCACUUGUUUGUGGCGUGGUUGGCACAUGGUUCAGGCAUGGCAGGCAGGUGGCUCCAGCAUGGCUGCCACGUGCUUCAAGUGAGGCUGGCAUGUGUUUAAAUUGGGACUGGCACAUGGUUCCGUCGUGGCCGGCAUGUGUCUUCGGCAUGGCUGAGAUGAGACUCAGGCAUGGCUCACAUGCCUUUCAGGCUUGGCUGACACAUGACUCAGGUGAGGCAGCCACGUGAUACAGGCGUUCCUGUCACAUCACCCAUGUGUGGCUCGCACCUGGUUCAUGCACGGCCUUCACGUGGCUCAUGGCUGGCUGGUGCGUGGUUCACGCAGGGGUGCCAUGUGUUUCAGGUGUGGCUGACACAUGACGCAGGCAUGGCUGACACGUGACUCUACCAUUCAUCCCACAUUAUCCAUGCCUGGUAGACAUGUGUUUCAUGCAUGGGUUACAUGUCAUUCAUGUGUGGCACACACGUGUCUCACUCGCUGCUGACACAUGGCUCCCACCUACGCAGACUUAGCUGGCACAUGGCUGACACAUGGCCCAGACAUGUUUCUCGUGUGGCUCCCAUGUGGCUCACGUGUGGUUCAGGCAUUGAACAUGGGUGCUUCACUCAUUUUUCC
rnacentral:lncRNA from 1 species